rnacentral:rRNA from 1 species
UACAUGCAAGUCGAGCGGACCGACGGGAGCUUGCUCCCUUAGGUCAGCGGCGGACGGGUGAGUAACACGUGGGUAACCUGCCUGUAAGACUGGGAUAACUCCGGGAAACCGGGGCUAAUACCGGAUGCUUGAUUGAACCGCAUGGUUCAAUCAUAAAAGGUGGCUUUUAGCUACCACUUACAGAUGGACCCGCGGCGCAUUAGCUAGUUGGUGAGGUAACGGCUCACCAAGGCGACGAUGCGUAGCCGACCUGAGAGGGUGAUCGGCCACACUGGGACUGAGACACGGCCCAGACUCCUACGGGAGGCAGCAGUAGGGAAUCUUCCGCAAUGGACGAAAGUCUGACGGAGCAACGCCGCGUGAGUGAUGAAGGUUUUCGGAUCGUAAAACUCUGUUGUUAGGGAAGAACAAGUACCGUUCGAAUAGGGCGGUACCUUGACGGUACCUAACCAGAAAGCCACGGCUAACUACGUGCCAGCAGCCGCGGUAAUACGUAGGUGGCAAGCGUUGUCCGGAAUUAUUGGGCGUAAAGCGCGCGCAGGCGGUUUCUUAAGUCUGAUGUGAAAGCCCCCGGCUCAACCGGGGAGGGUCAUUGGAAACUGGGGAACUUG